rnacentral:rRNA from 1 species
CCAGACUCCUACGGGAGGCAGCAGUGGGGAAUAUUGCACAAUGGGCGCAAGCCUGAUGCAGCGACGCCGCGUGAGGGAUGGAGGCCUUCGGGUUGUGAACCUCUUUCGCCAGUGAAGCAGGCCUGUCCCUUGUGGGUGGGUUGACGGUAGCUGGAUAAGAAGCGCCGGCUAACUACGUGCCAGCAGCCGCGGUAAUACGUAGGGCGCGAGCGUUGUCCGGAAUUAUUGGGCGUAAAGAGCUCGUAGGCGGCUGGUCGCGUCUGUCGUGAAAUCCUCUGGCUUAACUGGGGGCUUGCGGUGGGUACGGGCCGGCUUGAGUGCGGUAGGGGAGACUGGAACUCCUGGUGUAGCGGUGGAAUGCGCAGAUAUCAGGAAGAACACCGGUGGCGAAGGCGGGUCUCUGGGCCGUUACUGACGCUGAGGAGCGAAAGCGUGGGGAGCGAACAGGAUUAGAUACCCUGGUAGUCCACGCCGUAAACGUUGGGCACUAGGUGUGGGGGGCCUUUUCCGGGUUUUCCGCGCCGUAGCUAACGCAUUAAGUGCCCCGCCUGGGGAGUACGGCCGCAAGGCUAAAACUCAAAGGAAUUGACGGGGGCCCGCACAA